rnacentral:rRNA from 1 species
AUUGAACGCUAGCGGCAGGCCUAACACAUGCAAGUCGAACGAGUGGCGGACGGGUGAGUAAUGUCUGGGAACCUGCCUGAUGGAGGGGGAUAACUACUGGAAACGGUAGCUAAUACCGCAUACCAUCAGAUGUGCCCAGAUGGGAUUAGCUAGUUGGUGGGGUAACGGCUCACCAAGGCGACGAUCCCUAGCUGGUCUGAGGGGAUGACCUGCCACACUGUGACUGAGACACGGUCCAGACUCCGACGGGAGGCAGCAGUGGGGAAUAUUGCACAAUGGGCUCAAUCCUGAUGCAGCCAUUCCGCGUGUAUGAAGAAGGCCUUCGGGUUUUAAAGUACUUUCAGCGGGGAAGCGUUACCUGCAGAAUAAGCACCGGCUAACUCCGUGCCAGCAGCCGCGGUAAUUC